ACAGAAGGGUGAACGUUUAAAAAAACGUUUCACCCGAAAUCCUGUAUUCACCCCAAGUUCCUUUAAAAUUUGAUAAUAAAAAACUUGCAAAAGACCACCACUGGUGGCGCUUAAUUGCAUACGCGA
rnacentral:misc_RNA from 1 species